rnacentral:rRNA from 1 species
UGACGUCAAUCAUCAUGCCCUUACUGACCUGGGCUACACACGUGCUACAAUGGUUGGUACAACGAGUUGCGAGUCGGUGACGGCGAGCUAAUCUCUUAAAGCCAAUCUCAGUUCGGAUUGUAGGCUGCAACUCGCCUACAUGAAGUCGGAAUCGCUAGUAAUCGCGGAUCGGAGCACGCCCGCGGUCGAAUACGUUCCCGGGCCUU